GGUAGGGAGAUGGGAUGGGAGAAGAUAAGAUGUGAAGAAUUCAAUAAAUAUGACAAAAUUUUCUUUUUUUUUAACAAAAAAAUCAGUCUGAGUGAAAUAAAACAGAUGGAGGGAUGUGCAGAAAGAUAGUUCAGAGGAUCUAUCACUUAAAGGUGAAGAACCAAGGUUGGAGCAUGACUUAUGAAACUUGAAAUAUUCGGCUGCCAUGCUGUUACUGCCAAAUGCCUGAGAUCUGUUGCUGUGAAGUGUCCAAAUCUAAAGGUUCUGAAUAUUGGUAGAGUUCCCAAGACAACUGAGGACUGUUUGGCAAAAAUAGUAAACUCUAUGGAAAAGCUAACUAGUCUCAACUGUACAGGACUCAAUAUGGUGAAGGACUGUAUGGUUUGUUUUAUUCUGAAGAAAUGUCCUGAGCUGGAAUGUCUCAUUCUCAGUUCUUGUUCUCAAGUAACUGACAUCAGUCUGAUGGAAAUUAGCACUCAUUUACCUUCAGUCAGAGAAGAAGGCCAUGGAAAGCUACUCAUGAAGAGAACAAGGCCACAGCAAUGAGGUACCUUGAUUUCAGUGGCUGUGAAAAGGUGACCCACACUGGAGUUCAAGCUUUAGCAGCAAGAUGCCAUAGGCUUUCUUACCUUGAUUUGAGUUCCACAUCAACAAGCAAGAGAGGAGUUUGCUUAUUGGCUAGUUUCUGCUUCCGUACAUUGGAAUGUGUGAAGCUUAAUUUCUGCAAGGAUAUCUCCAUGGCUACAAUUGAAAAACUAUGCAGAAACUGCAAAAAACUAAAGAGCCUUCAUUUAUAUGGUUGCCGUUUUGUGCCAGACCUGGAGUCUAUUAAAAAUAUCAAUAAAACUGUUGAAGUGUUCUAUGACCUGCAAGUCCCAGCUGCUACGUUGUCAUCUGAAUGAGGAAUCCUAUCAAAAUAGAUGUCAUACAUUAUUUCUAGACUCUAGUAUCUGAUUGUUAGUUUCAACUAGAAUAGACCCAUUAAAUCAGUGGGAAUUUAGUAAGUUGAUGCCUAUAUAUGUUCUUUUGAUUCAAUGGGUCUACCCUAGUUUGUGCAAACACAAACAGUUUAAUUUGGGCCUAGGACCCUCUCUCUGUUUAACUUUAACCCAUAUACUUAACUACAUCUGCCAUUUUUAACAUUUGUGAAACAGAAACUCCCUCUCACCCGUGUCUACUUUAUAUACUCAUGUAUGUCUAGAAAUUGUAGUCAAAAAACUGACACAAAGAACCUGGGGCGACUUAUUCAUAGGUGAAGUACUGUAUUUUAACUCUUAUAAAAAAGGGAACCAUUCUCUUCUCUGAGUAGAGUGAUGCAAAGUGAGAGCUUAGUUCAUCCUGAGAGCGCUUAAAAGAAGCACCGACCCCUUCUGAGUGUUGCGAUUGUCUGGCAGGAAAAUGGUGGUGGCGGCGGCAGCAUUGUGGGGCUUCCCCUCAAAGCACCAAGAGGAAUUGGGCUUAAACUAUUUGAAUAAGACAUCUGUGUAUGUUUGUCAGCUUUUCUGGGUUAAAAUCAGGUAAAGUUGUCACAUUAAAGUAAAAGGCUGUAAU